AUCCCCAUCAAUGACAUUACGCUUAUGGACUAGAUGAAAGACGCUGUCAUCUGAAGAGGGAGGAGUUUUCAGUGUCUUCCCCCUGUAGGAAAUGGCUGAACAGGAAACG
ensembl:snoRNA